GACGAACGCUGGCGGCGUGCUUAACACAUGCAAGUCGAACGGAAAGGCCCUGCUUUUGUGGGGUGCUCGAGUGGCGAACGGGUGAGUAACACGUGAGUAACCUGCCCUUGACUUUGGGAUAACUUCAGGAAACUGGGGCUAAUACCGGAUAGGAGCUCCUGCUGCAUGGUGGGGGUUGGAAAGUUUCGGCGGUUGGGGAUGGACUCGCGGCUUAUCAGCUUGUUGGUGGGGUAGUGGCUUACCAAGGCUUUGACGGGUAGCCGGCCUGAGAGGGUGACCGGGCCAACUGGGGAUGAUGAGACGCCGCGGCCGCCAGGGGGAGGCGGGGGGGGGGAUGGGUGAACAGUGGCGGGAGGCUUGACGCGGCACCGCGGCGGGCGGGAGGCGGGCGUCGGGGUGGUAAACCGAUCCGCCCGGGAAAGAAGCGGGAGAGACGGUAAGGGGUAAGGAAGAACCGGCUACCUACGU
rnacentral:rRNA from 1 species